rnacentral:rRNA from 1 species
CAAGUCGAACGGUAACAGGAAGUGCUUGCACUUCGCUGACGAGUGGCGGACGGGUGAGUAAUGCUUGGGAACUUGCCUUUGCGAGGGGGAUAACAGUUGGAAACGACUGCUAAUACCGCAUAAUGUCUACGGACCAAACGGGGCUUCGGCUCCGGCGCAAAGAGAGGCCCAAGUGAGAUUAGCUAGUUGGUAAGGUAAAGGCUUACCAAGGCAACGAUCUCUAGCUGUUCUGAGAGGAAGAUCAGCCACACUGGAACUGAGACACGGUCCAGACUCCUACGGGAGGCAGCAGUGGGGAAUAUUGCACAAUGGGGGAAACCCUGAUGCAGCCAUGCCGCGUGUGUGAAGAAGGCCUUCGGGUUGUAAAGCACUUUCAGCUGUGAGGAAAAGUUAGUAGUUAAUACCUGCUAGCCGUGACGUUAACAACAGAAGAAGCACCGGCUAACUCCGUGCCAGCAGCCGCGGUAAUACGGAGGGUGCGAGCGUUAAUCGGAAUUACUGGGCGUAAAGCGCACGCAGGCGGUUUGUUAAGCUAGAUGUGAAAGCCCCGGGCUCAACCUGGGAUGGUCAUUUAGAACUGGCAGACUAGAGUCUUGGAGAGGGGAGUGGAAUUCCAGGUGUAGCGGUGAAAUGCGUAGAUAUCUGGAGGA